UACGUAGGGUGAAAGCGUUAAUCGGAAUUACUGGGCGUAAAGCGUGCGCAGGCGGUUUUGUAAGUCUGACGUGAAAUCCCCGGGCUCAACCUGGGAAUUGCGUUGGAGACUGCAAGGCUAGAAUCUGGCAGAGGGGGGUAGAAUUCCACGUGUAGCAGUGAAAUGCGUAGAGAUGUGGAGGAACACCGAUGGCGAAGGCAGCCCCCUGGGUCAAGAUUGACGCUCAUGCACGAAAGCGUGGGGAGCAAACAGG
rnacentral:rRNA from 1 species